rnacentral:SRP_RNA from 1 species
GUGCGGGUCCUGUGCAACAGGAUACCGUGAACCAUGUCAGGUGGGAAACCAAGCAGCAUUAAGCGGACUUUCUUGUGUGCCGCAGCAAACCUGCACAUC